GGCAAUGUAGCAUAGUGGUAAGGUGCAGGGCUUGUAACCACAAGGUUGCGGGUUUGAUUCCCCGCUGGGGCA
rnacentral:tRNA from 1 species